rnacentral:rRNA from 1 species
UGGGGAAUAUUGGACAAUGGGCGAAAGCCUGAUCCAGCCAUGCCGCGUGUGUGAAGAAGGUCUUUUGGUUGUAAAGCACUUUAAGUGGGGAGGAAAAGCUUAUGGUUAAUACCCAUAAGCCCUGACGUUACCCACAGAAUAAGCACCGGCUAACUCUGUGCCAGCAGCCGCGGUAAUACAGAGGGUGCAAGCGUUAAUCGGAAUUACUGGGCGUAAAGCGCGCGUAGGUGGUUAUUUAAGUCAGAUGUGAAAGCCCCGGGCUUAACCUGGGAACUGCAUCUGAUACUGGAUAACUAGAGUAGGUGAGAGGGGAGUAGAAUUCCAGGUGUAGCGGUGAAAUGCGUAGAGAUCUGGAGGAAUACCGAUGGCGAAGGCAGCUCCCUGGCAUCAUACUGACACUGAGGUGCGAAAGCGUGGGUAGCAAACAGGAUUAGAUACCCUGGUAGUCCACGCCGUAAACGAUGUCUACCAGUCGUUGGGUCUUUUAAAGACUUAGUGACGCAGUUAACGCAAUAAGUAGACCGCCUGGGGAGUACGGCCGCAAGGUUA